rnacentral:rRNA from 1 species
GACGAACGCUGGCGGCGUGCUUAACACAUGCAAGUCGAACGGAAAGGCCCUGCUUUUGUGGGGUGCUCGAGUGGCGAACGGGUGAGUAACACGUGAGUAACCUGCCCUUGACUUUGGGAUAACUUCAGGAAACUGGGGCUAAUACCGGAUAGGAGCUCCUGCUGCAUGGUGGGGGUUGGAAAGUUUCGGCGGUUGGGGAUGGACUCGCGGCUUAUCAGCUUGUUGGUGGGGUAGUGGCUUACCAAGGCUUUGACGGGUAGCCGGCCUGGGAGGGUGACCGGCCACAUUGGGCCUGAGGUACGGCCCAGACUCCUACGGGAGGCAGCAGUGGGGAAUAUUGCACAGUGGGCGGAAGCCUGAUGCAGCAGCGCCGCGUGCGGGAUGACGGCCUUCGGGUUGUAAACCGCUUUCGCCUGUGACGAAGCGUGAGUGACGGUAAUGGGUAAAGAAGCACCGGCUAACUACGUG